UAGGGAAUCUUCCGCAAUGGGCGAAAGCCUGACGGAGCAACGCCGCGUGAGUGAUGAAGGUCUUCGGAUCGUAAAACUCUGUUAUUAGGGAAGAACAUAUGUGUAAGUAACUGUGCACAUCUUGACGGUACCUAAUCAGAAAGCCACGGCUAACUACAUGCCAACAGCCGCGGUAAUACGUAGGUGGCAAGCGUUAUCCGGAAUUAUUGGGCGUAAAGCGCGCGUAGGCGGUUUUUUAAGUCUGAUGUGAAAGCCCACGGCUCAACCGUGGAGGGUCAUUGGAAACUGGAAAACUUGAGUGCAGAAGAGGAAAGUGGAAUUCCAUGUGUAGCGGUGAAAUGCGCAGAGAUAUGGAGGAACACCAGUGGCGAAGGCGACUUUCUGGUCUGUAACUGACGCUGAUGUGCGAAAGCGUGGGGAUCAAACAGGAUUAGAUACCCUGGUAGUCCACGCCGUAAACGAUGAGUGCUAAGUGUUAGGGGGUUUCCGCCCCUUAGUGCUGCAGCUAACGCAUUAAGCACUCCGCCUGGGGAGUACGACCGCAAGGUUG
rnacentral:rRNA from 1 species